UACGUAGGGGGCAAGCGUUGUCCGGAUUUAUUGGGCGUAAAGAGCGUGUAGGCGGCCAUACAGGUCAGCUGUGAAAACUCGAGGCUCAACCUCGAGACGUCGGUUGAAACCGUAUGGCUAGAGUCCGGAAGAGGAGAGUGGAAUUCCCGGUGUAGCGGUGAAAUGCGCAGAUAUCGGGAGGAACACCGGUGGCGAAGGCGGUUCUCUGGGCCUGUACUGACGCUGAGGAGCGAAGGCGUGGGGAGCGAACAGG
rnacentral:rRNA from 1 species